UAGCAUGAAGUCAGACA
rnacentral:rRNA from 1 species